rnacentral:rRNA from 1 species
UACGUAGGGUGCAAGCGUUUAAUCGGAAUUACUGGGCGUAAAGCGUGCGCAGGCGGUUCGCUAAGACCGAUGUGAAAUCCCCGGGCUUAACCUGGGAACUGCAUUGGUGACUGGCGGGCUAGAGUAUGGCAGGAGGGGGGUAGAAUUCCACGUGUAGCAGUGAAAUGCGUAGAGAUGUGGAGGAAUACCGAUGGCGAAGGCAGCCCCCUGGGCCAAUACUGACGCUCAUGCACGAAAGCGUGGGGAGCAAACAGG